CUGGCAUGGUAAACCCCACCGGGAGCAAGACCAAGUAGGGACGACAGGCUUUGCCAGGCAUAUUUCCAUGCCGUCGUCCGGGUAGGUUGCAUGAGGCCGCCAGUAAUGGCGGUCCUAGAUGAAUGACCAUCACGCUUAGCGCACAGAACCCGGCUUAUAGGCCACCUGACAUC
rnacentral:RNase_P_RNA from 1 species